CAGCACUUCAAGAAACAAUUUAUCUAAAGGAAGAGUUGAAGAUUAUCUCAAAUCCAGCAAAUUACUGGAUCACAAACAGCAUGGAUUUACAAGGGUUGGCCAGACCCAGUGAGUUUUAUACUUGAUGAACAGAGGCCAGUCUGAUCAAGUCAUUACUCUGAGUAUGAGUCAUCCAGAGAACCAAAGAGGAAACGGCUCAAGUAUAACAUGAAACGAGACCACAUACUGUACUUAUUUAUGUAUACAGAGCAAAUCUAAGAAUGUGUAUUGUUAUAAAGAGGAUUGAAAUACAUUUCUGGAAAAAAAAGCUCAAAGUAAAAGUAAACAUGAUUAAUAUAACAAUGCCUGAA